rnacentral:rRNA from 1 species
GACGAACGCUGGCGGCGUGCUUAACACAUGCGAGUCGAACGGAAAGGCCCUGCUUUUGUGGGGUGCUCGAGUGGCGAACGGGUGAGUAACACGUGAGUAACCUGCCCUUGACUUUGGGAUAACUUCAGGAAACUGGGGCUAAUACCGGAUAGGAGCUCCUGCUGCAUGGUGGGGGUUGGAAAGUUUCGGCGGUUGGGGAUGGACUCGCGGCUUAUCAGCUUGUUGGUGGGGUAGUGGCUUACCAAGGCUUUGACGGGUAGCCGGCCUGAGAGGGUGACCGGCCACAUGGGACCUGAGUACGGGCCGGGCCCCAUACGGGAGCCGCAGGGGGGAAUGUUGGCCCAAUGGCCGGAGCCCGGAGGCAGCACCCCCGCGUGCGGGAUGGCGGCUUUCGGGUUGAAACCCGCUUCCCCCUGUGACGAAGCGGGCGGGACGGAAAUGGAUAAAGAGACCCCGGCUACCUACGUC